UACGUAGGUGGCAAGCGUUGUCCGGAUUUAUUGGGUUUAAAGGGUGCGUAGGCGGCCUUGUAAGUCAGUGCUGAAAUAUCCCGGCUUAACCGGGAGGGUGGCAUUGAUACUGCAGGGCUUGAGUAAAGUUGAGGUUGGCGGAAUUGACGGUGUAGCGGUGAAAUGCGUAGAGAUCGGCAGGAACACCCAGGGGGAAACCAGCCGACUGGGCAUCUACUGACGCUGAGGUGCGAGAGCGUGGGGAGCGAACCGG
rnacentral:rRNA from 1 species